CAUAUAUGUAAUAUAAGAUGAAGUGGUGUACAGGUGAGUAAAGGAUAUUAUAACCGCCUUAAAGUAAGGAGCAAGAUCCCUUAUAUUAGGAAAGAAAUAAUUAAUAUUUCGCUUUAAGAAGUUAGUAUCUCGGAUAGUAGUAGUUAAGGUAAUUGCUUAACUAGCUUAAUAUCCGUAGUCGAGACUGAGAGGUUGAUCGACCACAAUGGGACUGAAUAAAUCCCAAUAUGUUUAGUACAGCAGUGAGGAAUAUUGGUCAAUAGCCUAACGGCUGAACCAGCAACUUGGAAGAAUGUAUAGCGAAAGCUGAUUGUAUUAACAGGCAAUGGUUAAUAUAAUAUCGACUUAGUCGACUAAAGUUCUAGGUAGAGUAAUGAUAAUGACAUUUUUUACCUAUGUGUCUUGACCAAGUCACGUGCCAGCAGUCGCGGUAAUACGUGGAAGACUAGUGUUAUUCAUCUUUAAUAGGUUUAAAGGGUACCUAGACGGUAUAUUUAGCCCACAAAGGGUACUAAAUAAACUAGAGUUUAAUGCGAGGGGGUAUCUAGUACUAAUGGAGUAGAGAUGAAAUUUAUUAAUACCAUGGAGGCGACUGGUAACGGCGAAAGCAACCCUUUAUGCAAAAACUGACGUUGAAGUACGAAGGCUUGUGUAACCAAAAGGAUUAGAUACCCUAGUAGUGCUAGCAGACAACGCUGAAUGCCAUAGAUUAGAUUAUAUUUAUUCUAUAAAUGAAAGUGUAAGCAUUCCACCUCAAGAGUAAUUUGGCAACAUUGGAAUUGAAAUCAUUAGACCGUUUCUGAAACCAGUAGUGAAGUAUGUUGUAUAACUAGACGUUCCGCAAAAAACCUUACCACAAUUUGAAUAUUUUUAUAAUUAUACAAGAGUUGCACGGCUGUCUUUAGUUAAUGUCGUGAGAUUUUGGUUAGUUCCAUUAAAUUAACGUAAACCCUUACUUUAUUUUUAGAUAAAGUAGUUCACCGCUAUAUUGGAUAUGAUAAAAGGGAAUAAGGCAAGUCAUCAUGGCCUGAAUAUUGUGGGCUACAGACGUGCCACAUAAGCUUAUACAAAGGGAUGCGAAAUGCGAC
rnacentral:rRNA from 1 species